ACUAAAUUAAAGUCAAACCGCAAAAUGCUCGUUAAAUCAGUCACGGUUUACUAGAACUAAUAUAUCUUUUUUUUUGAUAGAUGGAUAACUGUGGUAAUUCUAGAGCUAAUACAUGCAAAAAAGUUUUGACCAGUGAUGGAAAAGACGCUUUUAUUAGAUCAAAACCAAUCGAUUCAACUUGUUGUUUCGUUUGACUUUUGGCGAUUCUGAAUAACAACGCAGAUCACACAGUCAUUGUACUGGUGACGUAUCUUUCAAAUGCCUGACUUAUCACACUUUCGAUGGUAGAUUCUAUGUCUACCAUGGUUGUAACGGGUGACGGGGAAUCAGGGUUCGAUUCCGGAGAGGGAGCCUGAGAAACAGCUACCACAUCCAAGGAAGGCAGCAGGCACGCAAAUUACCCACUUCCGGCACGGAGAGGUAGUGACAAAAAAUAACGAUACGGGACUCAUCCGAGGCCCCGUAAUCGGAAUGAGUACACUUUAAAUCCUUUAACAAGUAUCAAUUGGAGGGCAAGUCUGGUGCCAGCAGCCGCGGUAAUUCCAGCUCCAAUAGCGUAUAUUAAAGUUGUUGCAGUUAAAAAGCUCGUAGUUGGUUCUGUGUGCCACACUGUUGGUUUACCGCAUGUCGGUGUAACUGAUAUGUCGUGGGACGUCCUGCCGGUGGUAAUUGCAGACCUCAUGGUAUUGUAAUUGCCUUUAAUUCUCAUCGCGGUGCUCUUUAUUGAGUGUCGAGGUGAGCCGGCACGUUUACCUUGAACAAAUUAGAGUGCUCAAGGCAGGCUAAAUUCUGCUUGAAUAUUUGUGCAUGGAAUAAUGGAACAGGACCUUGGUUCUAUUUUGUUGGUUUUCUGAAUCCAAGGUAAUCAUCAAUAUGGACGGUCCGGGGGCAUUCGUAUUGCGGCGUUAGAGGUGAAAUUCUUGGAUCGUCGCAAGACGAACUAGAGCGAAAGCAUUUGCCAAGUACGUCCUAAUUGAUCAAGAACGAAAGUUAGAGGUUCGAAGGCGAUCAGAUACCGCCCUAGUUCUAACCAUAAACGAUGUCAGCCAGCGAUCCGUAGAGUUCUUUGAAUGACUCGACGGGCAGCUUCCGGGAAACCAAAGCUUUAGGGUUCCGGGGGAAGUAUGGUUGCAAAGCUGAAACUUAAAGGAAUUGACGGAAGGGCACCACCAGGAGUGGAGCCUGCGGCUUAAUUUGACUCAACACGGGAAACCUCACCAGGCCCAGACAUUGGAAGGAUUGACAGAUUGAUAGCUCUUUCUUGAUUCAGUGGGUAGUG
rnacentral:rRNA from 1 species